CGAACAAUUACAUCUAUCAAAACUGCAAUUUGAUGAAAUCUUGGAUCUGGAAGUUUUUCUUUCAGCUGAUAGUAAAAGAAAGGAUUCUGCAGUAGAAUCAUUAUGUAAUGUGGGUGGAAAAUCUACAAUAGAUAUUACAUACAAUGUUAUGAAAAAAGUGAUGAGUGACGAGGCUUCUAGCCACUUUAAUAAAAAAGGCAGUUCUCAGAAAAUCUCAUUUUGUGAAAAGUGUCUAAUAUUAUUUUCUGCUAUAAUUAAUGCCAUCAAAUUACAAGACAAAUCAGCGAAAGAUAGCGAUAUAACAACCGCAAUAGGAAAGUGACUACGUAUGCAUGGCACACUGUUUAAACGUCAAAUGACAGAAUAACAAUAAAAUAACAUCGUUUUGAUUAAAAAAAAAUUGAAAAUGCAGAAAA